AAAGGUAGCAUAAUCACUUGUCUCUUAAUUGGGGACUAGUAUGAAUGGCAUAACGAGGGCUCAGCUGUCUCUUAUUCCUAAUCAGUGAAAUUGACCUUCCCGUGCAGAGGCGGGAAUUAUUAUACAAGACGAGAAGACCCUGUGGAGCUUUAGUCGAAUAACUCAAAACAUACUAACAUAUAACCUACCGGAACAGCCCGUAUAAUCCCCUGAGUUAUAGUCUUUGGUUGGGGUGACCUCGGAGCAUAAAACAACCUCCGAAUGAAAUAACCUAGAUUAACGAAUCUAAGUGUAACAAUACCAGUAAUUGACCCAUCUUUUGAUCAACGGAACAAGUUACCCCAGGGAUAACAGCGCAAUCCUAUUUGAGAGCCCAUAUCGAAAAUUAGGGUUUACGACCUCGAUGUUGGAUCAGGACACCCAAAUGGUGCAACCGCUAUUAAAGGUUCGUUUGUUCAACGAUUAAAGUCCUACGUGAUCUGAGUUCAGACCGGAGAAAUCCAGGUCGGUUUCUAUCUGUAAAUUCAUUUCUCCCAGUACGAAAGGACAAGAGAAAUAGGGCCAACGUCCCAAAUAAGCCCUAGAGCCAACAUAUGAACAAAUCUAAAUAUACUAAACCAAUCUAUAACCCCCCCCCCAAGAAAAAGGGUUAUUAAAA
rnacentral:rRNA from 1 species